UACGUAGGGGGCAAGCGUUGUCCGGAUUCAUUGGGCGUAAAGAGCGUGUAGGCGGCCAGGUAGGUCGGUUGUGAAAACUGGAGGCUCAACCUUCAGAGGUCGACCGAAACCAUCUGGCUAGAGUCCGGGAGAGGAGAGUGGAAUUCCUGGUGUAGCGGUGAAAUGCGCAGAUAUCGGGAAGAACACCCGUGGCGAAAGCGGCUCUCUGGAACGGUACUGACGCUGAGACGCGAAAGCGUGGGGAGCGAACAGG
rnacentral:rRNA from 1 species